AGUAAAGUCAGCUAAAUAAGCUUUCGGGCCCAUACCCCGAACAUGUUGGUUAAAACCCUUCCCUUACUA
rnacentral:tRNA from 1 species